UACGUAGGGUGCGAGCGUUGUCCGGAAUUACUGGGCGUAAAGAGCUCGUAGGUGGUUUGUCGCGUUGUUCGUGAAAACUCACAGCUUAACUGUGGGCGUGCGGGCGAUACGGGCAGACUGGAGUACUGCAGGGGAGACUGGAAUUCCUGGUGUAGCGGUGGAAUGCGCAGAUAUCAGGAGGAACACCGGUGGCGAAGGCGGGUCUCUGGGCAGUAACUGACGCUGAGGAGCGAAAGCGUGAGGAGCGAACAGG
rnacentral:rRNA from 1 species